CUUGCGGUCAUAUCACGUCGAAACUCCGGUUCCCGUACGUUCACCGAAGUUAAGCAACAUCGAAACUCGUCAGUACCUAGAAGGGUGACCUCAUCGAAAUAUCAGGUGCUA